AAUCCAAUUCUAUUUUCCUAUAAGAACAUUCCCUUGAAAUGAAAAAUGUUUUCCUAGUUCUUCUCACUUAAUUUUUGACGGCCCAAGUCCUGACGUGACACAUUUCUACGUCGUCAGAGAAGUGAAGUGUUCCCCUAUUACCCAGUGAAAAGGCAACGAGGACCAAGGAAAAUGAAGUGAAAGGUAAAACGUAAUGUCAGAAUUGCCGUUCGUACGUAUCCCGUAAAGGCUGAAGGCUGAUUUAGACGAUGCCAGUCAGCGCUCUAGUUGAAGUAUCCAGUGAACAGAGAACAGACACUCUGUUCAAGAUACUUGAACCACGAUCAAAGCAUUCCUUGAAUAAAUCUUAUCACAUUAGCCGAGCUAGCUGGCGGAAGCAUAUGCAUAAAGGUUACUAGGUUACUAUUUUCAACGACAACUGUUUAUUUAUUAUACUGCUUCAAAUACCUUCGACGAAAUCAAAUGUAACAAUACCAACUGUAAAUUACGAGCCACCUGUUAACUCCACCAUCUUGACGAGGACCAAGAUGUAUAGAAGUAUUACUAAGCGUGAAACGACGGCCAUGUAAUGGAAUUUGGUACAGGUGACAACCAACGCGAGCAGUAAUUGGAGUCGUAAUUGGAGCUGGCAUCUGGGAGAUGGUUGAAAAUGUCGUGGAUUUAAUUUGCAUUAAUUAAGUAAUCGAAGUAUUUGACCUCCUUCCAGUUGGAUCGGCUCUUCUUCAGUCGUGAAUGAUACGGAAUGGUUUAUUAUACUGGAGACACGUUCGUCAACAAGUUUGGUAAAAAUACCUUCGAACGUUAGGAGGGAUUAGUUUGCUUCUAGCGCCGAUUGAGUAAUCGGCACAGAUAUAUACCUUCUCGUCAGGUAUUAAAUGUCGAACAACUAAAUAUAGAUUUUUCAAUCAUUAAACUAGAAUCAUCUCUCGGAAUAAAUAAAAUCUUGAAUGUCGAAAAUGAAUAUUCAGAUCAGCACGAUCAAUAUUUAUUCAGAUAAUUGUUCCGAUUUUCCGCAAAAUACUGAAAUACAUAAAUGUUUAUAUAAAAAAAGUUUAAAGUUUUCUUUUUAAAUACAUAAUUCUAUUAAAUAUGUA